rnacentral:rRNA from 1 species
CCUACGGGUGGCAGCAGUGAGGAAUAUUGGUCAAUGGGCGCGAGCCUGAACCAGCCAAGUCGCGUGAGGGAAGACGGUCCUAUUGAGUGUAAACCUCUUUUGUCGGGGAGCAAAAGACGCCACGCGUGGCGUUCCGAGAGUACCGGAAGAAAAAGCAUCGGCUAACCCCGUCCCAGCAGCAGCGGUACAACGGGGGAGGCGAGCCUUGUCCGGAUCGAUGGUGUUAAAAGGGUGCGAAGGCGGUCUGUUAAGUCAGCGGUCAAACCCCGGGGCGCAACCCCGGCCCGCCGUUGAAACUGGCAGUCUCGAGUUGGAGAGAAGUAUGCGGAAUGCGCGGUGUAGCAGUGAAAUGCAUAGAUAUCGCGAAGAACUCCGAUUGCGAAGGCAGCAUGCCGGCUCCACACUGACGCUGAGGCACGAAAGCGUGGGUAUCGAACAGGAUUAGAUACCCCAGUAGUC